AUUUGUAUUUAAUACUUGACUAAAUUUGGUAGCUUUAAAAGUCAAAGACUAAAAUUGGAAAUAAGUGAUAGUCAAAGUACUAAAUCCAGAAUUAAGUCUUAAUUGAAGCUCUUUAUUU